GCAGUCGAGCGGACAGAAGGAGCUUGCUCCCGGAUGUUAGCGGCGGACGGGUGAGUAACACGUGGGUAACCUGCCUGUAAGACUGGGAUAACUCCGGGAAACCGGAGCUAAUACCGGAUAGUUCCUUGAACCGCAUGGUUCAAGGAUGAAAGACGGUUUCGGCUGUCACUUACAGAUGGACCCGCGGCGCAUUAGCUAGUUGGUGAGGUAACGGCUCACCAAGGCGACGAUGCGUAGCCGACCUGAGAGGGUGAUCGGCCACACUGGGACUGAGACACGGCCCAGACUCCUACGGGAGGCAGCAGUAGGGAAUCUUCCGCAAUGGACGAAAGUCUGACGGAGCAACGCCGCGUGAGUGAUGAAGGUUUUCGGAUCGUAAAGCUCUGUUGUUAGGGAAGAACAAGUGCAAGAGUAACUGCUUGCACCUUGACGGUACCUAACCAGAAAGCCACGGCUAACUACGUGCCAGCAGCCGCGGUAAUACGUAGGUGGCAAGCGUUGUCCGGAAUUAUUGGGCGUAAAGGGCUCGCAGGCGGUUUCUUAAGUCUGAUGUGAAAGCCCCCGGCUCAACCGGGGAGGGUCAUUGGAAACUGGGAAACUUGAGUGCAGAAGAGGAGAGUGGAAUUCCACGUGUAGCGGUGAAAUGCGUAGAGAUGUGGAGGAACACCAGUGGCGAAGGCGACUCUCUGGUCUGUAACUGACGCUGAAGAGCGAAAGCGUGGGGAGCGAACAGGAUUAGAUACCCUGGUAGUCCACGCCGUAAACGAUGAGUGCUAAGUGUUAGGGGGUUUCCGCCCCUUANUGCU
rnacentral:rRNA from 1 species